CCUGCGCAUUUGAGAAACAAGCUGUUAACGAAUCACACUUGCUCUGCAUGUAGUUCGCUCGAGUUGUGCACUGUGUCAGAAGCGUCUGCGUUAGUUAAUCUGUAAAAACUGGCAGCGGCCACAUGAUCACAGAAGAAAUGCAUCCAGCCUUUUCCAGUGGGGAUGCCAAGGCUUACAAAGCACCAAACCAGCUUAUGGAAACACCGUACAAUGUCCUAGAUGCUCUCCCUGCUACGGAAAAUAACGUAAGCCUGCGGGGUGGUGGGAGAGAGACCUAACAGUUACAAAAAUAUUAUUUUAAGUAUAUUGGUCAAGUGUUGAAAACUGGACGGAAUGUGCUGGAAAACAGGUCAAGUGUUCAAAAGUAGUCGGACUCGUGAUGGCACAAUUUGGCGGCAGUCCUGCAUCCAAUUAGUCAUGUGUUAACAGUCUUUUUGUUAACAGUCUCCUAGGACUGAAAGUGGUGGGGGCGGGGGGAUUUAAAUUGUUUUUCUCUUCCUAUCCCACAGUAAUUUUCACAGUCAUUACAUAGUUGCCUGAUAAAGAGCUUUAAGUGGUCUAACACACAGCGUUCGUCUGGCAGAAUUGUUGAAAGGGCUUGUCUUGAUUCCCUGAAGUAGCCUAACCUGCAAUGAACUACAUGAUCACCACAUUAUUUUAAUAAUAAUAAUAAUAAUAAUAAUAAUAAUAAUAAUAAUAAUAAUAAAUUCUGAUAAAUGUAUCGGUGAUCCACUCACAUCAAGCCAGGCAUUGCUGCAUCAUGCAAAGAGCACAUUUUCAACCCAUUUCUUAAUGUUUGUGUCAGUACACAGACCUGUGGCACAGCUGUAACACAACUUCUCUUUCAUAUGACUUUGCACUAAGUGUCCUGCGAGUGGGACACAGUUCUCUUAAUGUGCUUUUGUAGCUGUAUCAAAUUGACAGGGGAGACAUUGAAAAUAAGCCACUCAUGAGCUGAAGACCCACUGGUACUGAGAGCAAUUCCCCUGUCUGCUAACCAAAAACACGAGAGAGACACCCUUUCCUUGAGAAUAAGGAGAGUAUUUGUUAAAAAGGGUUGAAAUUGUAUCAGGUGUUUAUUUACAAGGGAGCUCAUUGUGCAUAAAAUGCUCAUUAGGGAUUGCACAGGGCUUUUGUUCAUUAAACAGGUACGAUUACCAUCAUUUCCAUUCUAUUUAAUGAGAGCUUUUGUAGUUCAAAUAUUGGGUCGUUCCUUUCCCAGCUAUUCCUGUGAACGUCUUCAUGGAGUAAACAGGAUUUGUAUACAACAGUGCUGAGGCUCUAAAUGGAUUUAGCGUAAUUGUUCAGUCAGACUCCCAGUUACUGCUAAUGUGCGACAGAAAACCCGACUGUAUAUCCAUUUAACCAACAUAGUGUUGAAAUUAAAAGCACCGCAGGACUGAUUGGGGGUCUGCGCAUGAGAAAAUGGCCAAGCAGGAAAUCAGUUUAGAAGUGUCCCAUAUGUUACCGGCAAAGUCAAUCAUCUGGGUAUGAUUACGCAGGCAUCACAUAAAGGAAACUGCAUUAAAUGGCUAGUAAUUAAGUCCAGAUUAUGGCCCUGAAAACACUCACUCAUACACUUAGCUUUGAAUUCAAGGAGGCUGCAGUUUUAACCCGGUUGCAGGAUUAGAGCCUUACAUAUGUUUUGGAGCUCCAUGAAAUUGUGGAAAUGGAAACUUUGCUUGUAAACGUUUUCAUCCAAGAUGCUUAAUAAUGCUUUUUUCUUUUCUUUUCUUUUCUUUUUUUUGUAUGUGUGUGUGGGAGUUAUGCAUAAAUGCUUUGUGAAGACAUACAGGAAAUCCAUUACAUGGCAGGAAAGGAGCCGUGUUGUGAAAUGCUGAAGAGAAAAGAAUUCUGCAGAUGAAAUGAUUGCACCGACUUCCUGAUUUUUGAUCCAGCUGCCCAAUUAAAAGAAACUGCCCCUGGAGGAUAGGCCGAAAUGGUAUGGGCUAGCUUAUUCUUUACUAAACCUUUAUAACAACGCUGCAUGAGGCCGGGCGAUGUUCCGGAAAUCACGUUUCAUCAUUUGUUCCACUGAAGUGUGCAACAGGGUGUGGCUGACUGUUACCAAGGCGUUUUAAACUUAUCCAAUACAGUGGUACCUCGGGUUAAGUACUUAAUUCAUUCCGGAGGUCUGUUCUUAACCUGAAACUGCUCUUAACCUGAAGCACCACUUUAGCUAAUGGGGCCUCCUGCUGCUGCUGUGCCGCCGGAGCACGAUUUCUGUUCUCAACCUGAAGCAAAGUUCUUAACCUGAAGCACUAUUUCUGGGUUAUCGGAGUCUGAAACCUGAAGCGUAUGCAACCCGAGGUACCACUGUAUACUUCAAGCACAUAUAUUACAGCCUAACUAUACAUGACCUCAACAGGGUAGUUCUGCCUUUGAGAUUCAGGGCUUUGACCAGUGUGGAGGGUCUGGUCCAAAUCAUAACUGCAGCAAAGGAUGGAAGGUUAAAUCCACCUUAUCUCCCACAGUAGGGUCCCAGUCUGGAUCAUUUUCCCCAUACUAGCUAUUUCUGGCCCCUCCAAAAGCCU